CUGCUAGGAGUUCCUUCCUUCU
rnacentral:miRNA from 2 species